rnacentral:tRNA from 1 species
GCGUUCGUAGCUCAGCUGGAUAGAGCGACGGACUUCGAAUCCGUAGGUCGCAGGUUCGACUCCUGCCGGACGCA